UACGGAGGGGGCUAGCGUUGUUCGGAAUUACUGGGCGUAAAGCGCUCGUAGGCGGCUUUGUAAGUUAGAGGUGAAAGCCCGGGGCUCAACUCCGGAAUUGCCUUUAAGACUGCAUCGCUAGAAUUGUGGAGAGGUAAGUGGAAUUCCGAGUGUAGAGGUGAAAUGCGUAGAUAUCUGGAGGAACACCGGUGGCGAAGGCGGCAUCCUGGACCGGUAUUGACACUGAGGCGCGAAAGCCAGGGGAGCAAACGGG
rnacentral:rRNA from 1 species